UGCAGCCGAGCGGUAUUGUUUCUUCGGAAAUGAGAGAGCGGCGUACGGGUGCGGAACACGUGUGCAACCUGCCUUUAUCUGGGGGAUAGCCUUUCGAAAGGAAGAUUAAUACUCCAUAAUAUAUUGAACGGCAUCGUUUAAUAUUGAAAGCUCCGGCGGAUAGAGAUGGGCACGCGCAAGAUUAGCUAGUUGGUGAGGUAACGGCUCACCAAGGCGAUGAUCUUUAGGGGGCCUGAGAGGGUGAUCCCCCACACUGGUACUGAGACACGGACCAGACUCCUACGGGAGGCAGCAGUGAGGAAUAUUGGUCAAUGGGUGCAAGCCUGAACCAGCCAUCCCGCGUGAAGGACGACUGCCCUAUGGGUUGUAAACUUCUUUUGUAUAGGGAUAAACCUACCCUCGUGAGGGUAGCUGAAGGUACUAUACGAAUAAGCACCGGCUAACUCCGUGCCA
rnacentral:rRNA from 1 species